GGUUUGAUUCUUGGCUCAUGAUUGAACGCUAAGUGGGAUGCUUUACACAUGCAAGUCGAACGGCAGCACGGACUUCGGUCUGGUGGCGAGUGGCGAACGGGUGAGGUCAUCGGAACGUGCCUAGUAAAGGGGGGGAUAAUUCGACGCGAAAGCAGAAGCAUUACCGCAUACGCCUCUUCGGGGGAAAGCGGGGACCUUCGGGCCUCGCACUAUUAGAGCGGCCGAUAUCGGAUUAGCUUAGUUGGUGGGGUAACGGCUCACCAAGGCGACGAUCCGUAGCUGGUUUGAGAGGACGACCAGCCACACUGGGACUGAGACACGGCCCAGACUCCUACGGAGGCAGUGGGGAAUGGAUAAUGGGGGAAACUCCUGAUCCAGCCAUUCCGCGUGUGCGAUGAAGGCCUUCGGGUUGCAAAGCACUUUGGACAGAACAGCCGGCACCGCAACCACGGCACUUGCGCAGCCCCACACCCACGCCAGCAGCCGCGGUAAUACGUAGGGUGCAAGCGUUAAUCGGAAUUACUGGGCGGAAGCGUGCGCAGGCGGUUCGGAAAGAAAGAUGUGAAAUCCCAGAGCUUAACUUUGGAACUGCAUUUUUAACUACCGAGCUAGAGUGUGUCAGGAGGAGGUGGAAUUCCCGCGUAGCAGUGAAAUGCGUAGAUAUGCGGAGGAACACCGAUGGCGAAGGCAGCCUCUCCUGGGAUAACACUGACGCUCAUGCACGAAAGCGUGGGAGCAAACAGGAUUAGAUACCCUGGUAGUCCACGCCCUAAACGAUGUCAACUAGCUGUUGUCUUCGGGCCUGGUAGCGCAGCUAAUCGCGUGAAGUUGACCGCCUGGGGAGUACGGUCGCAAGAUUAAAAACUCAAAGGAAUUGACGGGACUGCACAAGCGGCGGAUGAUGUGGAUUAAUUCCGAUGCAACGCGAAAAACCUUACCUACCCUUGACAUGUCUGGAAUCCCGAAGAGAUUUGGGAGUGCUCGCAAGAGAACCGGAACACAGGUGCUGCAUGGCUGUCGUCAGCUCGUGUCGUGAGAUGUUGGGUUAAGUCCUGCAACGAGCGCAACCCUUGUCAUUAGUUGCUACGAAAGGGUACCAGUACGAGACUGCCGGUGACAACCGAGGAAGGUGGGGGAUGAGGUCAAGUCCUCAUGGCCCUUAUGGGUAGGGCUUCACACGUCAUACAAUGGUCGGGACAGAGGUCGCCAACCCGCGAGGGAGCAAUCCCAGAAACCCGAUCGUAGUCCGGAUCGCAGUCUGCAACUCGACUGCGUGAAGUCGGAAUCGCCAGUAAUCGCGGAUCAGCAUGUCGCGGUGAAUAUGUUCCCGGGUCUUGUACACACCGCCCGUCACACCAUGGAGUGGGUUUACCGGAAGUAGUUAGCCUAACCGUAAGGAGGGCGAUUACCACAGUAGAUUCACACUAGUGUCGUAACAAGGUAG
rnacentral:rRNA from 1 species